AAAUUUUCCAUUUCAAUAUUUUGUCAAAUUUCACAAAGUCCAUUCCCAGAUAUGUACGAACUUCAGCAAUGGAGGCAAGUAAGGUUUAUCACUUUCUAUGGCAAUUUACUUGAGUUAAAUUAUUUGCUCUAUAAAAACAUAUGGUUCUCACUGUACCAUAAUCAUCUUGCUAGAUAUGCCUCAUGCUGUCCUUUAUAUUACUUAUUUGCAAGGAAUUUAAGCAUUGACAAUUAUUUAUGAACGUUUGAACCAUGAAAGAAUUGAAUUAUUUUUGUUCAGGGGUGGGUUUGCCCCUGUACAUUUAUUUCAAGAUCAGUGUUCUACAGCGUUUGUCAAAUUCAGGACUGGCGCUGGAAGCUGUAGGUGGAGGGAAGACCAGGAAUGGUGCAGCUCUGCAGAUGCUGAAGGUGUGCCAAAGGGUCACGUGUGUUCCUGAAGGGACUGAGGCGACGCAGUCGGAGGUCCCUGCGGUGGCGGUCAGCGGGAGGUGUCAAGACCAACCAGCUCCUCGUCCAGGAAAGGGUUUUGUUUUUUAAACGAUUUAUGAUGACUAUAUGCUCUGUAAGCUGACCUUGGGUGUCUUGAAAGGCGCCUCUAAAUUAAAUGUAUUAUUAUUAUUAUUAUUUCCUAUGGUAGAGAGGUGCGUGAUAUUUAUUCGAGAGAUGGUACAUGAAACGGAUGACCUGUUAAGAUGCUAGGGGGAUCAACUCCCAGCAGCGGUACCGUAUCCCCAACGUCUUAAUGUUGUAACCUGUCAAACCCAACGCUAACAUUUCGGGAAGCUUUCAGUGCAUCCUGACAAUGCCACUGUUGGAUACAUUUACACUUGGUUGGGGCCAUUGUAUAAAAUUAAUCCAUCGAUACCAUCUCAAAAUAAUGCUCUCAUAGUGUGUGCUUUUGAUUUAUUUUUUUCGCUUAGUCAAACUGAUAUUGGCUAAUGCUUAAGAAUCGUACAAAUUAAUAAUUGCUCUUCCGGUCACACAAUGCUUGCUUCCAUCCUUUGUAUAAUUUUUAUACCUACCCUUGGUGUAUAUUUUUUGCCCUUCUUGCUAUGACUAAUUUCCACUUGGGAUCAACAAAUUACUGUUUUUUUCAGGUCACGAUGGAAGAGCAGAUGGCUGUGCAGUUGCCAUGGUGGAGAGACCCAGAGUAUGAUGACCGAACAGUUGAUC